rnacentral:rRNA from 1 species
GAUGAACGCUGGCGGCGUGCCUAAUACAUGCAAGUCGAGCGAACAGACGAGGAGCUUGCUCCUCUGACGUUAGCGGCGGACGGGUGAGUAACACGUGGAUAACCUACCUAUAAGACUGGGAUAACUUCGGGAAACCGGAGCUAAUACCGGAUAAUAUAUUGAACCGCAUGGUUCAAUAGUGAAAGACGGUUUUGCUGUCACUUAUAGAUGGAUCCGCGCCGCAUUAGCUAGUUGGUAAGGUAACGGCUUACCAAGGCAACGAUGCGUAGCCGACCUGAGAGGGUGAUCGGUCACACUGGAACUGAGACACGGUCCAGACUCCUACGGGAGGCAGCAGUAGGGAAUCUUCCGCAAUGGGCGAAAGCCUGACGGAGCAACGCCGCGUGAGUGAUGAAGGUCUUCGGAUCGUAAAACUCUGUUAUUAGGGAAGAACAAAUGUGUAAGUAACGAUGCACGUCUUGACGGUACCUAAUCAGAAAGCCACGGCUAACUACGU